AUUGAACGCUGGCGGCAUGCUUUACACAUGCAAGUCGAACGGUGACAGGCCUUCGGGUGCUGACGAGUGGCGAACGGGUGAGUAAUGCAUCGGAACGUACCCAGAGGUGGGGGAUAACGCAGCGAAAGCUGUGCUAAUACCGCAUGUGAUCUGAGGAUGAAAGCGGGGGACCGAGCAGCAAUGUUUGGCCUCGCGCCUUUGGAGCGGCCGAUGUCGGAUUAGCUAGUUGGUGGGGUAAAGGCCUACCAAGGCGACGAUCCGUAGCUGGUCUGAGAGGACGACCAGCCACACUGGGACUGAGACACGGCCCAGACUCCUACGGGAGGCAGCAGUGGGGAAUUUUGGACAAUGGGCGCAAGCCUGAUCCAGCAAUGCCGCGUGCGGGAAGAAGGCCUUCGGGUUGUAAACCGCUUUUGGCAGGAACGAAACGGUGUCCGCUAAUACCGGGCGCUAAUGACGGUACCUGCAGAAUAAGCACCGGCUAACUACGUG
rnacentral:rRNA from 1 species